CAAAAAAAUGAACUUGAAGAGAGAGAAACAUGAUUAAAAAAAAGAGGAUCAUGUUCAUCUUCAAUCCUAGAGCAAUUCUAAGAAGAAGAGGAAGAAAGAUGAAUUUGAAGAGGGAGAAGAGACACAUUGUGGUUGUGAGGAGUGAUUCGCGUUGUGAUGUCAUUGAGGCGCGAAAAUUCUAAAAAUAGAUUUUAUGUGUAUGGUCUUUUUAAGAUAAGGGGACAAAAGUAUGCAACUUUUUUACUCAUUUGAUGAAGAUAUGAUCAAUCAUGCUAAGGAGGUUAUAAUAUAUCUAAAGAAAAAGAAUGAAGAGUUGAUGAAGUUUAUGAAUGACUCAAAGAUAAAUGAAGAUGGGUUGAAGAAGAAGAAAAUUAAAAUUAUGAGUUUUUUUUUUUUCUUCUGGUUUGUCUUGGGUGUUUCUUGUAAUGCUUGUGUUUGUAGUAGUUGCAACAAAUAUUUUGAAAUAGGUUGUUGUUUAGGUUUAUGUUUGCGAUUUCUGUCACUUUUUCCGUGGAAUCCAUUACAAAGAACACAAUGGGAAUGAAAUGACAAUGAUCACAAGAAAUAGACGAUUGUGAUGGGAUUCACAAUUAAGGCUUGUUCAACGUCGUUCUUGUUCUUCAA